AUUGAACGCUGGCGGCAUGCCUUACACAUGCAAGUCGAACGGCAGCACGGGUGCUUGCACCUGGUGGCGAGUGGCGAACGGGUGAGUAAUACAUCGGAACGUACUUCAUCGUGGGGGAUAACGCAGGGAAAGCUGUGCUAAUACCGCAUACGCCCUGAGGGGGAAAGCGGGGGAAUGCAACCCCCCGCGCGAUUAGAGCGGCCGAUGCCUGAUUAGCUUGUUGGUGGGGUAAAAGUCCGCCAAGGCGACGGUCAGUAUGCUGGUCUGAGAGGACGAUCAGCCACACUGGGACUGAGACACGGCCCAGACUCCUACGGGAGGCAGCAGUGGGGAAUUUUGGACAAUGGGGGCAACCCUGAUCCAGCAAUGCCGCGUGAGUGAAGAAGGCCUUCGGGUUGUAAAGCUCUUUUGUCAGGGAAGAAACACCGGCUCUAACACAGUCUGGGAAUGACGGUACCUGAAGAAUAAGCACCGGCUAACUACGUGCCAGCAGCCGCAGUAACAC
rnacentral:rRNA from 1 species